UGUUUGUGUAUUUUCUCUCCCCGUCAGAGGACCGAGAGAUUACGUUCAUCGUGGGAAAGCUCGGCAAUAUGCAGCUCAUCAUCGAUGGCCAUCUGUUUCAGCGCUCACAGGUACGCGAACGGAUCGUCAUCUGGAACUGCUCCCGCAGAAGAUUCGGAUGCAAAAGCCGCAUAAGCACGCUGCGUGGUAAGCCAGGAGUGGCGCACUCUUUCCGCGACGAGCACAAUCACGAGCGCAAAGACAACCUGAAGGGAAAGAACAUCAAAAUCAUCCGAAAGCAAACGCUGAAAAUUUUACGAUAGUUGGAAAGAUUUUUUGAUUUUCAUAAUGCCAAAAACGUCAAUAAAUAACAUUGAUCUACAA